rnacentral:rRNA from 1 species
GCUGACGAGUGGCGGACGGGUGAGUAAUGUCUGGGAAACUGCCUGAUGGAGGGGGAUAACUACUGGAAACGGUAGCUAAUACCGCAUAACGUCGCAAGACCAAAGAGGGGGACCUUCGGGCCUCUUGCCAUCGGAUGUGCCCAGAUGGGAUUAGCUAGUAGGUGGGGUAACGGCUCACCUAGGCGACGAUCCCUAGCUGGUCUGAGAGGAUGACCAGCCACACUGGAACUGAGACACGGUCCAGACUCCUACGGGAGGCAGCAGUGGGGAAUAUUGCACAAUGGGCGCAAGCCUGAUGCAGCCAUGCCGCGUGUAUGAAGAAGGCCUUCGGGUUGUAAAGUACUUUCAGCGGGGAGGAAGGGAGUAAAGUUAAUACCUUUGCUCAUUGACGUUACCCGCAGAAGAAGCACCGGCUAACUCCGUGCCAGCAGCCGCGGUAAUACGGAGGGUGCAAGCGUUAAUCGGAAUUACUGGGCGUAAAGCGCACGCAGGCGGUUUGUUAAGUCAGAUGUGAAAUCCCCGGGCUCAACCUGGG